ensembl:lncRNA
CUUCUCCAGCGUAUUUCCCUAAUGGAGAGUUUAGAAAAACCUGACCCCUAGUCAUACCGUGCCACUAAUGCUGCAGCUCCAAGCUUGUGGAACCUGAGGUGGAGCAAGCAAGUGCCAGUAAGAGAAACAUUCCAGGGAAGGAAGAAAUUACCAGAAGAUUGUCCCCAGUAACACUGGAACUAAACUGUGGAUGUGGAAUAUUGUAAGAUUUUGAGGAUUUAUUUGAAACAGACAAACAAAAAUCCUCUACGUCAUGUGGAAGUCCUUCAAAUGGAAAUCCUGCCUUGGCUUAUCUGCAUGCAGCUCUCCUGAAUUCAAUCAAAUUCAUCUGAACUUUUUCAAAUUCCACUGGAGGAGGAGACAGGAGGAUUUAGUAGACAUUGCCUGCUGAGAAGAAACAAGGGGCGAUAACUCAGGGAAAGCCUAAAAGAGUAGGACCUGUCAUGCAGCCUCCUUAACUAUGUCGUUCCUAACUGCAUUUGUUACAGUCUUAGCCAUGAUCUUGCCCAAUCCCAGCUGCGUACACCUGUGUGCUCACUUAGAGCCCGUUUUUUGCACCUAUGUGAAGCCUACUCAGAUUUUGAAUACGUAUGAGUUUUGCAACAAUUUACAUUUUCUGUAUUGGUGUAACUUUAGAUAUUUAGUUUCAGCUCUGGCUCAACAUAGUACAACAGACGUUUUAAAGAUAUAUUUUUUUUUUCCAUAAGAGGAAAAGUAAUUUUAAAGUUGGGUAAAGACAAGGGGAGGUAAGGUGAUAUGGGCCGGUUUGUUUAGCAAUAGGGAUCUGUUUAUUAGUUUAAGGACCAACAUAUUAGUUUAGCAAAAGGAAUCAAUGAAUGCUAAUUCUAAAACUUUCCUUUUCGCUUUUCUUGGUGUGUGAGCAGCCCUGUUUUCUCUUAAUUCUGCUUCACAAGAAGCACCAGAGACAUAAUAGACUGCUUAUCUUUGCAUUUCAUGAGGUGCUAGGAUGUUUUCCUCAUAUUUUUCACAUAUAUGGUUUUGGAAAUUGCUGAUUAUGGGUUAACAACCAAUAGAAAUGUGCCAAACAGGGGAAAAACGGCUGAAGGUCAGCUAAAAGUCUCAAUGAUGAAGCUGAUGGUGGAAAAGUGGGGAUAAAGUAAGUGGGCAUAUGACCACCCUAAAUGCAACCAUGCAUGCCCAGAGGGAUAUUAGCAUAUAUUAAUGUGUUCUUGGAAAAGAAUGAAUACGUAUGUCAGUGUACUGCAUAUGCAUGUCUUAACUAUUUAACUGUAGAACCUGAACUCUGAGAGAGUGCGCUUGUUCGUCAAGUUGUCCAAUUCAUAUCAUGAGGAAUAAAGGAAAGGCACUUUCUAACACUACAUUGGAGUUAGAGGGUUUUCUUCCCAGAUAUUGGAUGACAAGGUAUCUACCUUGAGGAAAGAUAUUAUGAAGACCUACUUACAGAUGCUCUAGUUUUUUGGCCAUAUUUUGAUAAUUAGCAUGGAAACCAUGGACCUGAUUUGAGCUAAGCUGUUUGAUCACAUUUUGGAUGACACGCUGCCCUUUAGCUUGUGUAAAUACAUGAUAUAACUCAUCACCAUUUUCAGUAUAAACCAGCAAGUUCAUCUAAACAUAACAGUUUUGGUGAAGCCAAAUGUCUUUAUUGCCUAGGGUGAUUUUUUUUUUUUAACUUAUUUCUAAAACUGUGGGAUUUCCAAUUAAAAAAAAAAAAUCCCAAAUGUAUUUAUGAAUAAAAAAGGAUAAACACAGUGAUUGCGGAUGCACAUUUUAAUUAACUGGAAAAUCUCUUCUUCUUUUUGUUGAUCCCCUAUUUCCUUCUUUUCCAAGG